GUCAGGAUGGCCGAGCGGUUAAGGCGAUAGACUCAAGAACCCGGGAUUCAGACUCAGAUCUGAUCUCCGAUCUUGAUCUGCGAAGCAGAUAUUCAUUCUAUUGGGGCAACCCGCGUGGGUUCGAUUCCCACUUCUGACA